rnacentral:rRNA from 1 species
GUGGGGAAUAUUGGGCAAUGGGGGAAACCCUGACCCAGCAACGCCGCGUGAAGGAAGAAGGUUUUCGGAUCGUAAACUUCUAUCCUUGGUGAAGAUAAUGACGGUAGCCAAGAAGGAAGCCCCGGCUAACUACGUGCCAGCAGCCGCGGUAAUACGUAGGGGGCAAGCGUUGUCCGGAAUGAUUGGGCGUAAAGGGCGCGUAGGCGGCCUGGUAAGUCUGGAGUGAAAGUCCUGCUUUUAAGGUGGGAAUUGCUUUGGAUACUGUCGGGCUUGAGUGCAGGAGAGGUAAGUGGAAUUCCCGGUGUAGCGGUGAAAUGCGUAGAGAUCGGGAGGAACACCAGUGGCGAAGGCGACUUACUGGACUGUAACUGACGCUGAGGCGCGAAAGUGUGGGGAGCAAACAGGAUUAGAUACCCCUGUAGUCC